rnacentral:rRNA from 1 species
CAGCCGCCGCGGGAACACGAAGGGUGCAAGCGUUAAUCGGAAUUACUGGGCGUAAAGCGUGCGUAGGCGGUUUGUUAAGUCUGCUGUGAAAUCCCCGGGCUCAACCUGGGAAUGGCAGUGGAUACUGGCAAGCUAGAGUGUGUCAGAGGAUGGUGGAAUUCCCGGUGUAGCGGUGAAAUGCGUAGAGAUCGGGAGGAACAUCAGUGGCGAAGGCGGCCAUCUGGGACAACACUGACGCUGAGGCACGAAAGCGUGGGGAGCAAACAGGAUUAGAUACCCCAGUAGUCCCUGUCUCUUAUAC